rnacentral:rRNA from 1 species
GAUGAACGCUGGCGGCGUGCCUAAUACAUGCAAGUCGAGCGAACAGACGAGGAGCUUGCUCCUCUGACGUUAGCGGCGGACGGGUGAGUAACACGUGGAUAACCUACCUAUAAGACUGGGAUAACUUCGGGAAACCGGCGCUAAUACCGGAUAAUAUAUUGAACCGCAUGGUUCAAUAGUGAAAGACGGUUUUGCUGUCAGUUCUAGAUGGAUCUGCGCCGCAUUAGCUAGUUGGUAAGGUAACGGCUUACCAAGGCAACGAUGCGUAGCCGACCUGAGAGGGGGUUCGGCCACACGGGAGCUGAGACGCGGUCCAUACGCCUACGGGAGGCAGCAGUAUGGAAUCUUCCGCAGUGGUCGAGAGCCUUACGGAGCAACGGCGCGUGAGUGAUGAAGGUCUUCGGAUCGGAAAACUCUGUUAUUAGUGAAGAACAAAUUUGUAAGUAGCUAUGCACGUCUUGACGGUACCGAAUCAGAAAGCCACGGCUAACUACGUG